rnacentral:rRNA from 1 species
GGGUUGUGAGGUUAAGCGACUAAGCGUACACGGUGGAUGCCCUGGCAGUCAGAGGCGAUGAAGGACGUGCUAAUCUGCGAUAAGCGUCGGUAAGGUGAUAUGAACCGUUAUAACCGGCGAUUUCCGAAUGGGGAAACCCAGUGUGUUUCGACACACUAUCAUUAACUGAAUCCAUAGGUUAAUGAGGCGAACCGGGGGAACUGAAACAUCUAAGUACCCCGAGGAAAAGAAAUCAACCGAGAUUCCCCAGUAGCGGCGAGCGAACGGGGAGCAGCCCAGAGCCUGAAUCAGUGUGUGUGUUAGUGGAAGCGUCUGGAAAGGCGCGCGAUACAGGGUGACAGCCCCGUACACAAAAAUGCACAUGCUGUGAGCUCGAUGAGUAGGGCGGGACACGUGGUAUCCUGUCUGAAUAUGGGGGGACCAUCCUCCAAGGCUAAAUACUCCUGACUGACCGAUAGUGAACCAGUACCGUGAGGGAAAGGCGAAAAGAACCCCGGCGAGGGGAGUGAAAAAGAACCUGAAACCGUGUACGUACAAGCAGUGGGAGCACGCUUCGGCGUGUGACUGCGUACCUUUUGUAUAAUGGGUCAGCGACUUAUAUUCUGUAGCAAGGUUAACCGAAUAGGGAGCCGAAGGGAAACCGAGUCUUAACUGGGCGUUAAGUUGCAGGGUAUAGACCCGAAACCCGGUGAUCUAGCCAUGGGCAGGUUGAAGGUUGGGUAACACUAACUGGAGGACCGAACCGACUAAUGUUGAAAAAUUAGCGGAUGACUUGUGGCUGGGGGUGAAAGGCCAAUCAAACCGGGAGAUAGCUGGUUCUCCCCGAAAGCUAUUUAGGUAGCGCCUCGUGAAUUCAUCUCCGGGGGUAGAGCACUGUUUCGGCAAGGGGGUCAUCCCGACUUACCAACCCGAUGCAAACUGCGAAUACCGGAGAAUGUUAUCACGGGAGACACACGGCGGGUGCUAACGUCCGUCGUGAAGAGGGAAACAACCCAGACCGCCAGCUAAGGUCCCAAAGUCAUGGUUAAGUGGGAAACGAUGUGGGAAGGCCCAGACAGCCAGGAUGUUGGCUUAGAAGCAGCCAUCAUUUAAAGAAAGCGUAAUAGCUCACUGGUCGAGUCGGCCUGCGCGGAAGAUGUAACGGGGCUAAACCAUGCACCGAAGCUGCGGCAGCGACGCUUAUGCGUUGUUGGGUAGGGGAGCGUUCUGUAAGCCUGUGAAGGUGUGCUGUGAGGCAUGCUGGAGGUAUCAGAAGUGCGAAUGCUGACAUAAGUAACGAUAAAGCGGGUGAAAAGCCCGCUCGCCGGAAGACCAAGGGUUCCUGUCCAACGUUAAUCGGGGCAGGGUGAGUCGACCCCUAAGGCGAGGCCGAAAGGCGUAGUCGAUGGGAAACAGGUUAAUAUUCCUGUACUUGGUGUUACUGCGAAGGGGGACGGAGAAGGCUAUGUUGGCCGGGCGACGGUUGUCCCGGUUUAAGCGUGUAGGCUGGUUUUCCAGGCAAAUCCGGAAAAUCAAGGCUGAGGCGUGAUGACGAGGCACUACGGUGCUGAAGCAACAAAUGCCCUGCUUCCAGGAAAAGCCUCUAAGCAUCAGGUAACAUCAAAUCGUACCCCAAACCGACACAGGUGGUCAGGUAGAGAAUACCAAGGCGCUUGAGAGAACUCGGGUGAAGGAACUAGGCAAAAUGGUGCCGUAACUUCGGGAGAAGGCACGCUGAUAUGUAGGUGAGGUCCCUCGCGGAUGGAGCUGAAAUCAGUCGAAGAUACCAGCUGGCUGCAACUGUUUAUUAAAAACACAGCACUGUGCAAACACGAAAGUGGACGUAUACGGUGUGACGCCUGCCCGGUGCCGGAAGGUUAAUUGAUGGGGUUAGCGGUAACGCGAAGCUCUUGAUCGAAGCCCCGGUAAACGGCGGCCGUAACUAUAACGGUCCUAAGGUAGCGAAAUUCCUUGUCGGGUAAGUUCCGACCUGCACGAAUGGCGUAAUGAUGGCCAGGCUGUCUCCACCCGAGACUCAGUGAAAUUGAACUCGCUGUGAAGAUGCAGUGUACCCGCGGCAAGACGGAAAGACCCCGUGAACCUUUACUAUAGCUUGACACUGAACAUUGAGCCUUGAUGUGUAGGAUAGGUGGGAGGCUUUGAAGUGUGGACGCCAGUCUGCAUGGAGCCGACCUUGAAAUACCACCCUUUAAUGUUUGAUGUUCUAACGUUGACCCGUAAUCCGGGUUGCGGACAGUGUCUGGUGGGUAGUUUGACUGGGGCGGUCUCCUCCUAAAGAGUAACGGAGGAGCACGAAGGUUGGCUAAUCCUGGUCGGACAUCAGGAGGUUAGUGCAAUGGCAUAAGCCAGCUUGACUGCGAGCGUGACGGCGCGAGCAGGUGCGAAAGCAGGUCAUAGUGAUCCGGUGGUUCUGAAUGGAAGGGCCAUCGCUCAACGGAUAAAAGGUACUCCGGGGAUAACAGGCUGAUACCGCCCAAGAGUUCAUAUCGACGGCGGUGUUUGGCACCUCGAUGUCGGCUCAUCACAUCCUGGGGCUGAAGUAGGUCCCAAGGGUAUGGCUGUUCGCCAUUUAAAGUGGUACGCGAGCUGGGUUUAGAACGUCGUGAGACAGUUCGGUCCCUAUCUGCCGUGGGCGCUGGAGAACUGAGGGGGCUGCUCCUAGUACGAGAGGACCGGAGUGGACGCAUCACUGGUGUUCGGGUUGUCAUGCCAAUGGCACUGCCCGGUAGCUAAAUGCGGAAGAGAUAAGUGCUGAAAGCAUCUAAGCACGAAACUUGCCCCGAGAUGAGUUCUCCCUGACUCCUUGAGAGUCCUGAAGGAACGUUGAAGACGACGACGUUGAUAGGCCGGGUGUGUAAGCGCAGCGAUGCGUUGAGCUAACCGGUACUAAUGAACCGUGAGGCUUAACCUUACAACGCCGAAG